ACUCCUACGGGAGGCAGCAGUAGGGAAUCUUCCGCAAUGGACGAAAGUCUGACGGAGCAACGCCGCGUGAGCGAAGAAGUAUUUCGGUAUGUAAAGCUCUAUCAGCAGGGAAGAAAAUGACGGUACCUGACUAAGAAGCACCGGCUAAAUACGUGCCAGCAGCCGCGGUAAU
rnacentral:rRNA from 1 species